AAUUAUAUUUUGUCCUAUUGUAAUAGAGAUUAUUUUAUUUAGUGUUAUGGGGGUUGAUGAUUUUUUUCAACCCUCAUGGAGGUAGCACCACCGACUCAUUCUCUCAUUCUCCACCAACCAUCGUUGAGUUGAGUGCCCAGAUGGCUCCGCUCCUACAGAUGCAGACUUUGACCCCGAACCCGAUCCAGAAUCAGGAUCCUCUUUUGACGACCCCGACCCCGAC
rnacentral:lncRNA from 1 species